rnacentral:rRNA from 1 species
UAUACUGCAGUCGAGCGAACAGAUAAGGAGCUUGCUCCUUUGACGUUAGCGGCGGACGGGUGAGUAACACGUGGGUAACCUACCUAUAAGACUGGGAUAACUUCGGGAAACCGGAGCUAAUACCGGAUAAUAUUUCGAACCGCAUGGUUCGAUAGUGAAAGAUGGUUUUGCUAUCACUUAUAGAUGGACCCGCGCCGUAUUAGCUAGUUGGUAAGGUAACGGCUUACCAAGGCGACGAUACGUAGCCGACCUGAGAGGGUGAUCGGCCACACUGGAACUGAGACACGGUCCAGACUCCUACGGGAGGCAGCAGUAGGGAAUCUUCCGCAAUGGGCGAAAGCCUGACGGAGCAACGCCGCGUGAGUGAUGAAGGUCUUCGGAUCGUAAAACUCUGUUAUUAGGGAAGAACAUACGUGUAAGUAACUGUGCACGUCUUGACGGUACCUAAUCAGAAAGCCACGGCUAACUACGUGCCAGCAGCCGCGGUAAUACGUAGGUGGCAAGCGUUAUCCGGAAUUAUUGGGCGUAAAGCGCGCGUAGGCGGUUUUUUAAGUCUGAUGUGAAAGCCCACGGCUCAACCGUGGAGGGUCAUUGGAAA